rnacentral:rRNA from 1 species
GAUGAACGCUGGCGGCGUGCCUAAUACAUGCAAGUCGAGCGAACAGACGAGGAGCUUGCUCCGCUGACGUUAGCGGCGGACGGGAGAGUAACACGUGGAUAACCUACCUAUAAGACUGGGAUAACUUCGGGAAACCGGAGCUAAUACCGGAUAAUAUAUUGAACCGCAUGGUUCAAUAGUGAAAGACGGUUUUGCUGUCACGUAUAGAUGGAUCCGCGCCGCAUUAGCUAGUUGGUAAGGUAACGGCUUACCAAGGCAACGAUGCGUAGCCGACCUGAGAGGGUGGUCGGCCACACUGGCUCUGAGACACGGUCCAGACUCCUGCGGGAGGCCGCAGUCGGGACUCUUCCGCAAUGGGCGAGAGCUUGACGGAGCACCGCCGCGUGAGUGAUGACGGUCUUCGGAUCGUAAAACUCUGUUGUUAGGAAGGAACAAAUGUGUAUGUACCUGUGCACGUCUUGACGGUACCUGAUCAAAAAGCCCCGGCUAACUACGUG